AGCCUUGUAUUCAAGUAUGAUAUAAAAUUGCAAAUUUUAAGGAGAAAUUAUUUUCUAAGGCUU
rnacentral:tRNA from 1 species